rnacentral:rRNA from 5 species
AAAACGACUCUCGGCAACGGAUAUCUCGGCUCUCGCAUCGAUGAAGAACGUAGCAAACUGCGAUACUUGGUGUGAAUUGCAGAAUCCCGUGAACCAUCGAGUCUUUGAACGCAAGUUGCGCCCGAAGCCGUUAGGCCGAGGGCACGUCUGCCUGGGCGUCACGC